AAAGGAAAGCUCCGCGUGUGCUUGCACACAGCGGAGCUUUUUCUUUAUGAGGGCAGUCCAAUACGAGCGCGAAGUGGCGCGAAACGCCACGGGAGUGCGAGUGUUGGACAGGAUCGCGCGAGCAUGGAGUGCGAAGCGAUCCA
rnacentral:sRNA from 1 species